rnacentral:tRNA from 1 species
GCCUGGGUGGCUCCGUGGUUGAGCGUCUGCCUAUGUACCAGGAGGUCAGGGUUCGAGUCCCGGUCAGGGCA